GUCAGUGUGGCCGAGUGGUUAAGGCAUCAGACUCGAGAUCUGAUACCGCGUGCAGUCCCUGCCGCUGACG
rfam:Aspergillus brasiliensis CBS 101740 unplaced genomic scaffold ASPBRscaffold_1, whole genome shotgun sequence.